GAAUGUUCUCAGGGCGGGGCGAAACUCCCCACCGGCGGUAUCCGGAGCGAUUCGGGAGCCCGCGAGCGCCUUCCAAUGGAAGGGUCAGCAGAUCCGGUGCGAUGCCGGAGCCGACGGUUAGAGUCCGGAUGGAAGAGGACAAGU
rnacentral:ncRNA from 2 species